GCUUCUUGCAAAAGAAGUACUCUGCCUGGCUCUGGUCGGGCUUGCGCUUCUUGGUCUGACCCUGUGCAGACAUCCCAGCAUGCAGCUGCACCUUCUUAUUCUUCUUCUUCUUCUUCUUUUCUUUCUUAAAGGGUCGACGACCAGAAGAAGACCCUCCCACAACAUUCACCGACUCCUUAUGGAGCUGGUGAUCCUUCUCAAAGUUCUGCAGUAACCCCAACAAGCCAUGGUAGUUCACUGCAGGCUUUGUCAUC
rnacentral:lncRNA from 1 species